UACGGAGGAGGCAAGCGUUAUCCGGAAUUAUUGGGCGUAAAGCGUCCGUAGAUGGUUUUGUCAGUCUGCUGUCAAAGCACAGGGCUUAACCCUGUAAAGGCAGUGGAAACUACAAGACUAGAGUGCAGUAGGGGCAGAGGGAAUUCCUAGUGUAGCGGUGAAAUGCGUAGAGAUUGGGAAGAACAUCCGUGGCGAAAGCGCUCUGCUGGACUGCAACUGACAUUGAGGGACGAAAGCGAGGGGAGCGAAUGGG
rnacentral:rRNA from 1 species